rnacentral:misc_RNA from 1 species
AACGUUACCAAACUGUUGCCUCGGCGGGAUCUCUGCCCCGGGUGCGUCGCAGCCCCGGACCAAGGCGCCCGCCGGAGGACCAACCAAAACUCUUAUUGUAUACCCCCUCGCGGGUUUUUUUUAUAAUCUGAGCCUUCUCGGCGCCUCUCGUAGGCGUUUCGAAAAUGAAUCAAAACUUUCAACAACGGAUCUCUUGGUUCUGGCAUCGAUGAAGAACGCAGCGAAAUGCGAUAAGUAAUGUGAAUUGCAGAAUUCAGUGAAUCAUCGAAUCUUUGAACGCACAUUGCGCCCGCCAGUAUUCUGGCGGGCAUGCCUGUCCGAGCGUCAUUUCAACCCUCGAACCCCUCCGGGGGGUCGGCGUUGGGGAUCGGCCCUGCCUUGGCGGUGGCCGUCUCCGAAAUACAGUGGCGGUCUCGCCGCAGCCUCUCCUGCGCAGUAGUUUGCACACUCGCAUCGGGAGCGCGGCGCG